rnacentral:rRNA from 1 species
UACAGAGGGUGCAAGCGUUGUCCGGAAUUACUGGGUGUAAAGGGCGCGUAGGUGUUUGGAUGUGUCAGAUGUGAAAUUUCAUAGCUUAACUAUGGAACUGCAUUUGAAACUAUCCGAAUAGAGUGCAGUAGGGGAAAGUGGAAUUCCCGGUGUAGAAGUGAAAUUCGUAGAUAUCGGGAGGAAUACCUGUGGCGAAGGCGACUUUCUGGACUGUUACUGACACUGAGGCGCGAAAGCGUGGGGAGCAAACAGG